UACGUAGGGUGCAAGCGUUAAUCGGAAUUACUGGGCGUAAAGCGUGCGCAGGCGGUGAUGUAAGACAGUUGUGAAAUCCCCGGGCUCAACCUGGGAACUGCAUCUGUGACUGCAUCGCUGGAGUACGGUAGAGUGGGAUGGAAUUCCGCGUGUAGCAGUGAAAUGCGUAGAUAUGCGGAGGAACACCGAUGGCGAAGGCAAUCCCCUGGACCUGUACUGACGCUCAUGCACGAAAGCGUGGGGAGCAAACAGG
rnacentral:rRNA from 1 species